rnacentral:lncRNA from 1 species
AUGACGCGUCAGAUUGGCUCCGCCCACAGCGCAUACAUACACGUCCUGGAACUUCUGUCUGUCUGGUCACACCAGACACAACACGGAGUCAUGGAUCAGAAGCACAGUGACGGUGACGUCCAGACGCCUGCUGCGGACAGUCUGGAGUUCAAACUCCUGAUGGCAUACGCCCGCAAGAGACGACCCACCGACACCCGUCUGCCGCAGGACGUCCCGUCUUCACCACAGCUGCCUGAAGAACACGGCAUAGCAAAGAAAAAUAAAAGAAAGAAGAGACUGUUGUCUCUCUUGAAGUGUAUUAAACCACAGACAGAUGAUGUACGUGCACGAAAGCCAGCAACAUUUGACGGCAAUAGGAAAGUGGAGAAGAUGGAGAACUUGGUCGGUGAACUGACAGAGAUAUCAGCUUCUGUGCACUUCACUCCCUGUGAAAUAGAAGCAGACGGUCCAGAAGACGAGGAGUCUGAUUUUGCGAGAAAGCUGGCUGAGCUCCUUAGAGAACAAGGUGAUGAACUGAAUGAAAAGAUUAAGGCAGACAAGGUCUUACUUGAAAUACUGCGGUCCUCGCUCUCAUACAGCUUCUUCAUGAAAGUGAUGGAAGCUUUCUGUGGAAGUGUCUCUCCAGACAUGCCUUCAGAGCAGAAAGACAAGAAAGUCAAUGUGGCUCUGGUCUGUGAAGCCACCAGUCAGCUUGUUGGCAUCCAUUAUCAUCCAGUGACCUACGCUCCACGUGGAUAAACAAAAACAAUGGAUGUAGGCAAUGUAAGUGUCACAAUGACAACACACUUAUCCACAACAAUGACAUCAGCCGUAAUAACACGUAGAAACAUUUGUUUCCCUUCACAGGGAGAAGCUGAUGACGAAUCCAAAGAUGAAGUCCAGUGAGCAGAUGAGAUGCUCUCUCACAUUAUAACAUCUUUCUCAGGGGCACAGGCACUUUAUAAACCUGAAAAGUGGUUUUGUUUGGUGAACCAACAAGGAUAUCUUGUUUUUGUUCCCCAUUACAUCCUCAUAGCAUCCAAGAGAAAAAAAGAGGUAGUUCAUAGUGCCAAAUCUAACUGUAUGUUUACCAUACCUCACAAAAAAUGCACGGAUACUGCAUUAUAUAUGUUUGUAUGUUUAACACCACUUGUAAACUGUUUUUGUAAUUUAAUGUAGCAUCCAAAUUGUUAUGAAUUAUUUGCCCUUUUGUUAAAUCUGUACUUUUGUUUUGAAAUUAACUUAUUUUCGUAUCCUUGAACGUUAAAGUGAUUAAGAGAAUAUAUAAUGUCUUAAUGAAAUUUAUAUAUAUAUUUUCAAUGUUAUAAUAUUAAAGAAACUGUGAAAAUUUGUAAUUUUGUCUUCUUUUUUACUAGUAGUAAGUAUGUGGACCUACUUUUCUGAUUAAAAGGUCAUCGAUUAAUCUUUUGAUUGAAGUCUACAAUAGUUUCAUCACUAAACCAAAGGCUUCUAGUCAGAGUUAUUAUCAUUUUUACUUAUAUUUUUAAAUAUAUAUAUAUAUAUAUAUAUAUAUAUAUAUCUACUUUUAACUUAUUUUCGUAUCCUUGAACGUUAAAGUGAUUAAGAGAAUAUAUAAUGUCUUAAUGAAAUUUAUAUAUAUAUUUUCAAUGUUAUAAUAUUAAAGAAACUGUGAAAAUUUGUAAUUUUGUCUUCUUUUUACUAGUAGUAAGUAUGUGGACCUACUUUUC